rnacentral:rRNA from 1 species
UCCCGUUGAUCCUGCGGGAGAUUGCUGCUAUUGGGAUUCGAUUUAGCCAUGCAAGUCAAGGGGCUCUUAGGAGCACCGGCAAAAGGCUCAGUAACACGUCAUUAAUCUGCCCUUAGGCCAGGGAUAACCUCGGGAAACUGAGGCUAACACCUGAUAGGGAAAGGAUUCUGGAAGGAACCUUUCCUCAAAGAUUACGCCUAAGGAUGAGAUGGCGGCGGAUUAGGCUGUUGGUGGGGUAACGGCCCACCAAACCAAAGAUCCGUACGGGCUUUGAGAGAAGUAGCCCGGAGAAGGGUGCUGAGACACUAACCCUAGCCCUACGGGGUGCAGCAGGCGCGAAACCUUUACAAUGCACGAAAGUGUGAUAAGGGGAUCCCGAGUGCUUAUGCAUUGCAUAGGCUUUUGCCAAGAGUAAAUAUCUUGGCGAAUAAGUGGUGGGUAAGACUGGUGCCAGCAGCCGCGGUAACACCAGCGCCACGAGUGGCAAUCAUUUUUAUUGGGUCUAAAGCGUCCGUAGCCGGUCUGACUAAUCUCUUGUGAAAUCGAUAAGCGUAACUUAUCGGCGUGCAAGAGACACUAUCAGACUAGGGACCGGGAGGAGCCAGAGGUAUUCCAGGGUGAGCGGUAAAAUGCUGUAAUCCUUGGAGGACCACCUGUGGCGAAGGCGUCUGGCCAGAACGGAUCCGACGGUGAGGGACGAAAGCUAGGGGAGCAAAACGGAUUAGAUACCCGAGUAGUCCUAGCUGUAAACACUGCGAGCUAGGUGUUGUACAUUCUUCGUGGAUGUGCAGUAUCGAAGCGGAGGCGUUAAGCUCGCCACCUGGGAAGUACGGUCGCAAGGCUGAAACUUAAAGGAAUUGGCGGGGGAGCACCACAAGGGGUGCGGCGUGCGGUUUAAUCUAAUUCAACACAGAGAAUCUCACCAGCAGCGACGGCCGGAUGAUGGUCAGGCUGAAGACCUUACCUGACUAGCCGAGAGGUGGUGCAUGGCCGCCGUCAGCUCGUGCUGUAAAGUGUCCUCUUAAGUGAGGUAACGAGCGAGACCUGCGUCCACAAUUGCUAACUGGCCCGUUUGGGUGACUGAGCACAAUGUGGAGACUGCCUUGGAAACGAGGAGGAAGGUGCAGGCUACGGUAGGUCUGUAUGCCCCGAAUCUGCUGGGCUACACGCGCGCAACAAUGGUAGGGACAAUGGGCUGCCACUCCGAAAGGAGAAGCUAAACCCCUAAACCCUAUCUUAGUCCAAGUCGAGGGUUGUAACUCACCCUCGUGACGUCGGAAUCCCUAGUAAUCGGGUAUCAUUAAUGCCCGGUGAAUAUGUCCCUGCUCCUUGCACACACCGCCCGUCAAACCACUCGAGCAGGUUCUAGGUGAGGCCUAGUUUUUUGAUUAGGUCGAAUCUAGGAUCAGUGAGAUGGGUUAAGUCGUCACAAGGUA